rnacentral:rRNA from 1 species
GAUCAUGGCUCAGAUUGAACGCUGGCGGCAGGCCUAACACAUGCAAGUCGAGCGGUAGCACAGAGAGCUUGCUCUCGGGUGACGAGCGGCGGACGGGUGAGUAAUGUCUGGGAAACUGCCUGAUGGAGGGGGGAUAACUACUAGGAAACGGUAGCUAAUACCGCAUAACGUCGCAAGACCAAAGGUGGGGGACCUUCGGGCCUCAUGCCAUCAGAUGUGCCCAGAUGGGUA